CACCAUUAAGGUUUUUUUUAAAAAAUUGGUGUCAGGUGAACUGAAUAAAAAAAAGGGUAUCUGGCAGCUACAGGGGAUGCUUAGGUUUCUAUGAUAAUCUGACCCUGGAUCCAAUUGGGUCAACGAUGUGUAUUGCAACCAUUUUGCACCUUAGUAUUAAGAUAUUAAGUAUUAAGGGUGGAGACACUGAAUGGCGGCAGUACUGCACACUGUGCAGCACUGCACCAGGAAGCAACUUUAGCAGCCAUCUGAGGAGUGGCCAGUAAAGGUAUCACUAGGCUGUAAUGUAAACACUGCACUUUCUUUGAAAAGACAGUGUUUACAGCAAAAAGCCUGAAAGGGAAUGAUUCUACUCACCAGAACAAAUACAUUAAGCUGUAGUUGUUCUGGUGACUAUAGUGUCCCUUUAAACAAAAACAAAUGUUUUGGUCACUUUAAGAGCCACAGUUUCUGGCAAAAUAUAGAAUAAAAACAAACUGUUGCUAAAUCCUAGAAUGUGUUGAACUGUAAAUUGUAAUGUGUUAUCAAUGACAUCCAUAAUUAUUACUGUAAAUGUUCUAAAGGGAUUAUAUUAAUUGUAGUAGCAGCUAUUCAGGUUGGAUAGAUAUUGAGUCUUACAGAUGACCUGCCUUUAUUGAUUGAUCAUCCCCCAAAGGGAUUAUAUUAUAAUGCAUUAAUGUUAUCACAUUGCUGAUUGUGGGUAAUCAAAGAAAGAACAUCAUGCACAGUUAGCAAGUAAUGACAAGAAAAUCUCUAAUUUACCAGAAAAAGAUUUAGUACAGGC